UUGAAAGGGAAACGAUUGAAGUCAGUCAUGCCGGUGAGAAAUCAGCUUACAGGGCUACUGUGAGUGCACUUUUUCGCAAGGCAGGCUAACAUCGGUUUUUGUUGCGUCAUAAUGAUUGUAGGAAGGUGGCUCCUUCGGGAGUGUUAUAGCCUACUUUAGAUGGCGCGACGAGGACUGAGGAUUGCAGCGAAUGCCUUUGGCUACGGAUCUGUUCUCUGUCGAUCUUCAAUUGAUCUUCAGCUUGCUGAUGAGCGGUUGAUGGGUUGCAAUAGGAUGGAAUCCGAUAAAUUCGUUAAGGAUGUUGACGUA
rnacentral:rRNA from 1 species